AUGUCAAAUGUGAGUUUAGAGAUCAAUGCUACUGCAACUUGGUUUCAGUUUGGAGCUUUUUCACAUGGUCUUCCUCUGCCGCAUAGCAAUCUUUUGCCCGUCCCUGAACUCGAAGGAAACCAGUUGGCUGAGAAGGCAGUAAAAGCAAGAGCACUUAAUAAUGGUUUGCUUGUCAACCCUCAUGAUCAGCAAUCAAUUGCUAAUGCAUUGCUGAAGUUGUUAUCGGAAAAGAAUUUAUGGGUUGACUGUAGAAAGAAUGGAUGGAAAAACAUACACCUUUUCUCAUGGCCCGAACACUGCCGAACCUACUUGACUAGGGUAGCAGCCUGCGCAUGAGAUAUCCACAGUGGCAGACUGACACUCCGGAGGAUGAAAUGGCUGCUGAGGAGUCCUUCAAUGACUCUCUCAGGGACAUGCAAGAUAUGUCUCUUAGGCUCUCAGUUGAUGGGGACAAAUCCUCACUGAAUGAAUCUCUAGAUGUGACUACAACUUCUGGCGACCAUGAGGUGGAAGAUCAAGUGAAGCGUGUCCAAAGCAAGAUGAAGAAGUCAGAUUCUGGUCCAAAAGACCAUGAAGACAGAAAUAAGCUGCCGGAUAAUGUAUCCAGCAAGUAUCCUUUGUUAAGACAUAGAAGAAAAUUGUAGCACUUGAUUGCUAUGACCAAUCUGGAGCGUCUGAUAAGAAAAUUAUUCAAGUUGUGCAAGAAAUAUUUAAGGCUGUAAGACUAGAUUCUCAAAGCGCAAGAUUUACAGGGUUUGCUCUGCUGACGGCUAUGCCGGCUUCGGAGAUAGUAGAGUUUUUGGCAUCAGGGAAGAUUUAGGCAAAUGAGUUUGAUGCUUUGGUUUGUAGCAGUGGAAGCAAGGUUUACUACCCUGGUACUUAAACAGAAGAUGGAAGGCUUUUUCCAGAUCCAGAUUAUUCGUCACACAUUGACUACCGAUGGGGCUGUGAAGGAUUAAAGAAAACCAUUUGGAAGCUCUUAAAUGCCCCUGAUGGUGAACCAAAUUGAAGAAGAUUUGAAAUCAAGCAAUUCCCAUUGCAUUUCAUACUUAAUCAAGGAUCCUAGUAAGGCAAGGAAAGUUGAUGAUUUAAGGCAGAAACUCAGGACGCGCGGACUACGCUGCCAUCCAAUGUACUGCAGGAGCUCAACAAGAAUGCAAAUUGUUCCGCUCCUUGCUUCUCGAGCACAGGCUCUCAGGUAUCUUUUUGUACGCUGGAGAUUGAAUGUCGCAAACGUGUACGUGUUCCUUGGAGAAAGUGGGGACACCGAUUAUGAAGAAAUGAUUGCAGGGACUCACAAGACCAUAAUCAUGAAAGGGGUGGUGGGAAAGGGUUCUGAAGAGCUGCUAAACAUCAGGAAGCUAUGUGAGAGACGACAUUGUUCCUCCUCAGUGCCCAUUGGUCGCCAUUGUAAAUGGGCAAGCUCCAACAGCUGAUGAGAUUGCGACUGCUUUGAAGCAAGUCAGCAAAUCUGCUGCUGGAAUGUGAUUACGAUGUCGCUAGAACCUGAGUUAUGUACACUUUGAGAAGAAACAAAAUAAAGGCGGAGAAUCAAUGAAACCCAUCUAAACACGGCCUAGUACUAACUAAGAAUGCAGCUAGCCAACUGGUCCUCACAAGUCACAAGUAACCUGGUUGGUUGGUGAGAUAAUAUAUAGGAGAGCAUGCAAAGGAUAA